GACGAACGCUGGCGGCGUGCUUAACACAUGCAAGUCGAACGGAAAGGCCCUGCUUUUGUGGGGUGCUCGAGUGGCGAAAGGGUGAGUAACACGUGAGUAACCUGCCCUUGACUUUGGGAUAACUUCAGGAAACUGGGGCUAAUACCGGAUAGGAGCUCCUGCUGCAUGGUGGGGGUUGGAAAGUUUCGGCGGUUGGGGAUGGUCUCGCGGCUUAUCAGCUUGUUGGUGGGGUAGUGGCUUACCAAGGCUUUGACGGGUAGCCGGCCUGAGAGGGUGACCGGCCACAUUGGGACUGAGAUACGGCCCAGACUCCUACGGGAGGCAGCAGUGGGGAAUAUUGCGCAAUGGGCGGAAGCCUGAUGCAGCAACGCCGCGUGCGGGAUGACGGCCUUCGGGUUGUAAACCGCUUUCGCCUGUGACGAAGCGUGAGUGACGGUAAUGGGUAAAGAAGCACCGGCUAACUACGUG
rnacentral:rRNA from 1 species